UUAAGUUUAGAAUUUGAUAAUGUAAAAUUUUACAGUUAACAGUGUUUUUUUUUACAUGUAUAUUUCUU
rnacentral:tRNA from 2 species